rnacentral:tRNA from 1 species
GUAGUAUAGCUUAAUCCAAAGCGCCCCGCUUACACCGGGGGGAGACCCGUGAGACCCGGGUUACUUCGAG